GUGCCAGCCGCCGCGGUAAUACGGAGGGUGCAAGCGUUAUCCGGAUUCACUGGGUUUAAAGGGAGCGUAGGUGGGCUGGUAAGUCAGUGGUGAAAUCUCCGAGCUUAACUUGGAAACUGCCAUUGAUACUAUUAGUCUUGAAUAUUGUGGAGGUCAGCGGAAUAUGUCAUGUAGCGGUGAAAUGCUUAGAGAUGACAUAGAACACCAAUUGCGAAGGCAGCUGGCUACGCAUAUAUUGACACUGAGGCUCGAAAGCGUGGGGAUCAAACAGGAUUAGAAACCCUCGUAGUCC
rnacentral:rRNA from 1 species